rnacentral:misc_RNA from 1 species
UGAUGGUCUGUUAAUCAAACACUAAUGGGAAAAUUGUAAUGUGAUUCUUCACUGCGUUAUAUAAAUUAAGCAUGCUUCAUGUUCUGUUUCUUGUCAUGGUUGUAAAUUUUGCUUCAAUUGUUCCUUAAUGUCUAAUUUCAAAUCAUUUUAGAUAUUUGAACACCAGCGGCAUUGAUUCUGGAACUCCCAUUUGAGAAAUUAUAAGUCAAACUAUAUUUAUCAUGCGCUAAAUGUUG